rnacentral:rRNA from 1 species
AUUGACUGCUUAUUGCACCACAUGUGUUUUUCUUUGAAACAAACUUGCUUUGGCGGUGGGCCCAGCCUGCCGCCAGAGGUCUAAACUUACAACCAAUUUUUUAUCAACUUGUCACACCAGAUUAUUACUUAAUAGUCAAAACUUUCAACAACGGAUCUCUUGGUUCUCGCAUCGAUGAAGAACGCAGCGAAAUGCGAUACGUAAUAUGAAUUGCAGAUAUUCGUGAAUCAUCGAAUCUUUGAACGCACAUUGCGCCCUCUGGUAUUCCGGAGGGCAUGCCUGUUUGAGCGUCGUUUCUCCCUCAAACCGCUGGGUUUGGUGUUGAGCAAUACGACUUGGGUUUGCUUGAAAGACGGUAGUGGUAAGGCGGGAUCGCUUUGACAAUGGCUUAGGUCUAACCAAAAACAUUGCUUGCGGCGGUAACGUCUACCACGUAUAUCUUCAAACUUUGACCUCAAAUCAGGUAGGACUACCCGCUGAACUUAAGCAUAUCAAAAACCGGAGGAA